UACGUAGGGGGCAAGCGUUGUCCGGAUUUAUUGGGCGUAAAGAGCGUGUAGGCGGCUAGAUAGGUCCGUUGUGAAAACUCGAGGCUCAACCUCGAGACGUCGGUUGAAACCGUAUGGCUAGAGUCCGGAAGAGGAGAGUGGAAUUCCCGGUGUAGCGGUGAAAUGCGCAGAUAUCGGGAAGAACACCGGUGGCGAAGGCGGGUCUCUGGGCAGUAACUGACGCUGAGGAGCGAAAGCGUGGGGAGCGAACAGG
rnacentral:rRNA from 1 species